CUAUGUAUAAUUUUGAAUCUGGAGUCCUGAUGAAGAUAAAGGAGUCCACGUGAUAUUCCCGCAGCAAUUUCAAAGCGUUUUUGCCAGGUUCAAGAAUGCUGAAUGUCAUCUUUGCAACUUCAGAGUGGUAUAUUUCCACAUUUUUGGAAGAUGCUUCAGUUGAAUUCCUUUCCACAAAGAAACCUGGCUCUUUAGGUUGAGAGCAUCAUCUUCUCCUACAAUUCUAGCAAGGCCAAAGUCAGAAAUCUUGGCGUUCAAUUCAGCAUCCAGUAAUAUGUUACUCGCCUUC